CUGAAUGCAUUAAUUUUUUGCGUCAUCACUGCAAGCCAUCAUGACUCUCAAAAGCCGCGACAGCCGCUGUUUACUUCUGAAGAUAACUUAAGCGCUGCCCUAAAAACCCGAUUCAAAUUCGACACAAACCUUCAAAUUAUAUAAACUAUUUAUAGUGUUUAAUUUAAAUUUUAGAUUUGAUAAAUUGGACAGAUCGUGUGAAAAAAUCUGUUUCCCCACACGACUUCUCAACCUUUCCCGAUCACGCAGUAGGUUUUGCUUCCCCACCUGCCAUUUUUAAAAAGAACCGACAGAACUCAUUGCCUUCUUCAAUCAUGCAGAGACUGGCAGCAUGAAGGUCUCGUCAUUUAUUUUGCUGGAAAAGGGAGAAAUUGUGCUUUUCAAUGGUAUUCAUAUUACAGUUGACAUGAAAGUAUUACGUUUUUUGGGCGCUAAAAUAAGGUUUAUCAUCUGCUGACCACGUCUCAGUCUGAGGCAUGUAACACUAACAAUAAGAAAUGAGAAAUGAAGAGCACCAGUAAAUAAAUAUGUAUUUGAAAAACCUCU